rnacentral:rRNA from 1 species
GUCUCGCAUUGUAGGUUGAUGAAGCGUUUCCUAAGUUAAACCUUUCAAUUAAAGUUCCUUGGAACAGGACAUCAAAGAGGGUGAUAAUCCCGUAACUAAUUGAAUGACAUACCAGUUUAACGACUAUGGAGCGUUUUCUUAGAGUCGGAAUGUUUGGGAUUGCAUUCCAAAGUGGGUGGUAAACUCCAUCUAAGGCUAAAUACUGGCGAGAGACCGAUAGCGAACAAGUACCGUGAGGGAAAGUUGAAAAGCACUCUGGAGAGAGAGUCAAACAGUACGUGAAAUUGCUAGCAGGGAAACGUUGGGCACCAGUACACGGCAAUCAAUGUUAAUGAUCAGUCGGUUUAUUGGCAAGUUAUAAUGCGGUGGUUAUACCUUUAGUGAUUGUCCCAUUAGCGGCGACUCACGUAUUAUAAAUUGUUAAUCGGACCGGUGCACUCUUUAACAGCCGGGUCAACAUCGGUUAAUGGCGUCGAAUAAGCUAGCUUUGAUACAGAGCAGGUGGCUAAAACGUAGCAAGAUCAAGUCUAUAUGGCUUGAUUUUGAACUUAUAAGUUUGUUAGUCGCGAUGUCAUUGACCGAGGAUUAUUCGACUCGUGCGUUUCGGCGCAGGGCGUAUUAGUAGUGUUAAAUCUAUACGUGUCAUUAGACAGCUUGCUGAUUAAUGGUCACUGUGCUAUUGCCACGUUGUAUAGCAGAGAUAGGUACACUGCUAAUGCAAGCCACUAGCGAGUCAAUGAAUGUUGACGAAAUGGUAUUCAACGACCCGUCUUGAAACACGGACCAAGGAGUCUAACAUGUCUGCGAGUGUUUGGGUGGAAAACCCUUACGCGGAAUGAAAGUGAAGAGGCAAGUUUCGCGCUUGUCCACUGGUAGGAAUCGAAGCGUUUCGGCGCGACGACGCACUACCGACCGACCUGUUACCCUCUGUGGUGGUAGGUUUGAGUUGGAGCAGUCCUGUUAGGACCCGAAAGAUGGUGAACUAUGCCUGAGCAGGAUGAAGUCAGAGGAAACUCUGAUGGAGGUCCGUAGCGGUUCUGACGUGCAAAUCGAUCGUCUGACUUGGGUAUAGGGGCGAAAGA